GCUUCUGGAGGACGGAGAUCAAACUGUGAUAGGAGACAGAGGAACCCCGCUGAGUGAAGGACAGAAAGCCCGGGUCAACCUCGCCAGAGCCGUGUAUCAGGAUGCAGACAUCUACCUCCUGGAUGAUCCAUUCAGUGCAGUGGAUGCAGGAGUCAGCAGGCACUUGUUCGAAGAAUGUAUUUGUCAAGUCUUGAGGGAGAAGAUCACAGUCUUAGUGACGCAUCAGUGGCAGUACCUAAAAGCUGCAAGUUGGAUUCUGAUAUUGAAAGGUG